rnacentral:rRNA from 1 species
UACGGGAGGCAGCAGUAGGGAAUCUUCCACAAUGGACGCAAGUCUGAUGGAGCAACGCCGCGUGAGUGAAGAAGGCUUUCGGGUCGUAAAACUCUGUUGUUGGAGAAGAAUGGUCGGCAGAGU